AUUGAACGCUGGCGGCAGGCCUAACACAUGCAAGUCGAGCGGAUGAAGGGAGCUUGCUCCUGGAUUCAGCGGCGGACGGGUGAGUAAUGCCUAGGAAUCUGCCUGGUAGUGGGGGAUAACGUCCGGAAACGGGCGCUAAUACCGCAUACGUCCUGAGGGAGAAAGUGGGGGAUCUUCGGACCUCACGCUAUCAGAUGAGCCUAGGUCGGAUUAGCUAGUUGGUGGGGUAAAGGCCUACCAAGGCGACGAUCCGUAACUGGUCUGAGAGGAUGAUCAGUCACACUGGAGCUGAGACACGGUCCAGACUCCUACGGGAGGCAGCAGUGGGGAAUAUUGGACAAUGGGCGAAAGCCUGAUCCAGCCAUGCCGCGUGUGUGAAGAAGGUCUUCGGAUUGUAAAGCACUUUAAGUUGGGAGGAAGGGCAGUAAGUUAAUACCUUGCUGUCUUGACGUUACCAACAGAAUAAGCACCGGCUAACUUCGUG
rnacentral:rRNA from 1 species